rnacentral:rRNA from 1 species
AGAUUGAACGCUGGCGGCAUGCCUUACACAUGCAAGUCGAACGGCAGCACGGGAGCAAUCCUGGUGGCGAGUGGCGAACGGGUGAGUAAUACAUCGGAACGUGCCCAAUCGUGGGGGAUAACGCAGCGAAAGCUGUGCUAAUACCGCAUAAGAUCUACGGAUGAAAGCAGGGGAUCGCAAGACCUUGCGCGAAUGGAGCGGCCGAUGGCAGAUUAGGUAGUUGGUGAGGUAAAGGCUCACCAAGCCUUCGAUCGUGUAGCUGGUCUGAGAGGACGACCAGCCACACUGGGACUGAGACACGGCCAGACUCCGUACGGGAGCAGCAGGUCGGGGUAAUUUGGAACAAGUGGGACGAAAGCCGUAGACUCCGAAGCCAGUCGCCGCG